UGAUUGACGUGCAUGGGUACGUUGGAUCCCUGCUUGGGCAGCGACAAUGUACCUUGCUCGCCACUUCAGUUGUUGGCAUAGGCACGCUGAGCCUUUGUCGGAUGAUGUUUUCCUGUGCUAUAUACCCGUUAAAAGGGCAUUGAACUUGUUUAAUUGCAUAUGUUGUUCGCUUCUCGUUGCGUCCUAUCGGAUUUUGGCAUGCAGUGAACUUUAAAGCAUUGAUUGUGUUCCACAUUCCUUGCAUGCACGUGCUUGGGUUGUUGGGCCAUGGUCCUUGCUCGAUCUCUCGGUUGCGGAAUACCUUGUGGGCAUGAGGCACUAGUCCUCUAUUCGGCCCCUUAUCGAGCGUUUAACGCUACGUGCGAACGACAGUUGCGGUCGUCUUGACUAGGUCUUUAUGGCUUGGCUCAUACGGUCCCAACGUCGAUGAGGAAUG
rnacentral:misc_RNA from 1 species